GCCGAGCAGCGACGCCUGUUCUGAUAACUUUGAUGUUGGCCGCUUCCUCCUGUACACCCGGUUGGCACAAGGAGCACUCAAGUGUUUUAUUGAACAGAAACUUUAUCAUAGACUGGAUCUCACUUGGGAAGAGCGGAAGGUUUAAAGUCUCACAAGACUACUGAGUAUGAAUAACAAGAGAUGAACCAGGCUGUAGGAACUUUACCACAUAGAUCUUGCAAAGAGCAGAAGGUUAAAUAGCACCAGGGAACUUCACUUUUAUUGUAGACAUUGUGAAAAGGUGUGUUUGCUCAUAUCCACGUGAUGCCAGUCAUUGUUAGGAGUACUUUUUGAUAAAGGUGUCUCUUCUGGUUGAUCACACCUUUUCUUUCAGUUGGCUAACAAAAAGAGUGUUAUAAACGGUUUGAAAAUAUAUGGUCCUAGCUAUGCAGAACACACAGAAUUUCAUAUUUCACCAUCUCUCCAUUUUCUUUUUCCGGCAACUGUUACUAAUUGGCUGGCGUCUUACACUUCCAAGUUCACAUUGUCUAUCUGUUUGGUCAGGAUUAGAGAUUACUUAUCUUUUAUCAGAGACAAAGUUUUCAUUAUUUAAUAUUUUCUCACUGUUGUAGAUUUUUCUCGCCCAAUCACUUUCAGGCAUGGAUGUCAAUUCUCAGAGUUUCUGUUGAUUUUAUGCAUUGGGGUCGUGUUGCCUGAAAGUACAACAUAUUAUUUUUGGUCUCUCUUUUGCUAGAAAAUUCCAUCUUUUCUAUGUAAAGCUGGUUCGAAAAAGAUAAUUUGACUCCACAUCUUCAUGGGUAUGAAACUUAAAAAAAUGAAAUUCUAUACAUUGCAUGUCAAAGCUUAUGUGCGCAGGGUACUGGGGAUGCACGUCUCAGCACUGAGGUAUCCAUUGAUCUUUUUCGCCCAUCCACCGGUGAAGAAGAUCCAACAACCGUCCAUAUGCAGAGUAAGGAGCCAUUAAGUUCCCGCUCUGGAGUCCGUGCUACAUAGUUACAGUCUUGCAGUACGGAUGAUGUCAUUGAUGUUGCUGGAGCGGCAGCUUUUAAAGGGAGGUUGGGAGCCUAUCCAUGUGAUGUUUUGCGACUGAUAUGUUCAGAGCAGUACACAAAAAUAAAGCUAAUUAAUUAAGAGUUUAAGACUGAUAAUGUAUGAUCUAGGCAUGUAUACGUUCUACCGAUUAACCCUCCAAUAGUGUGAAGCUAACUAAUGUGAAGCAGUCCACACAAACUCAUGUGUGUUGCAAUGUUUUAUUCAGUCUCUGCGCUGCAAAAUAACUUAUUUUCCUCUUUUCCCACACACUUAACCCUUUCUUGUAUUUGUAUCCGUACCAUGUAUCAUAGAAAUUAUGUAACAUGUUAUGCUCUAA